AGCGAACGCUGGCGGUAGGCCUAACACAUGCAAGUCGAGCGGCAGCACAGUAAGAGCUUGCUCUUACGGGUGGCGAGUGGCGGACGGGUGAGGAAUACAUCGGAAUCUACUUUUUCGUGGGGGAUAACGUAGGGAAACUUACGCUAAUACCGCAUACGACCUACGGGUGAAAGCAGGGGAUCUUCGGACCUUGCGCGAUUGGAUGAGCCGAUGUCGGAUUAGCUAGUUGGCGGGGUAAAGGCCCACCAAGGCGACGAUCCGUAGCUGGUCUGAGAGGAUGAUCAGCCACACUGGAACUGAGACACGGUCCAGACUCCUACGGGAGGCAGCAGUGGGGAAUAUUGGACAAUGGGCGCAAGCCUGAUCCAGCCAUACCGCGUGGGUGAAGAAGGCCUUCGGGUUGUAAAGCCCUUUUGUUGGGAAAGAAAAGCAGCAGGUUAAUACCCCGCUGUUCUGACGGUACCCAAAGAAUAAGCACCGGCUAACUUCGUG
rnacentral:rRNA from 1 species